UACUUAAUGAUACAAUAUUGGUUCAAGUGUUGGAAUUAAUUUUGCAAUAUAUUUGUGAUAUUGUUACUAGAAAAAAAAAAGAUAGCUGUUGUUCUUCCCAGGAUCUGCAUUACGCUGGUAGCUUUCUCUCUUAUGCAUAUAGGACUGUUGUGAAUUUUAAGAGAUCCAAAUUUGUCUGAGAAUAAAUAAGCAGAUGUAGUCUGUGAACACUCUGCUUGUGACUUCUACAGGAGGUCACAGCAAAAGAGAAUAUCUGAUCAAUCGCCCUGUCCCAAACCAGCCACAGGAAAUCAUUGCUUCUGGUAUGUCUGGGCUUGACAGAUGUCUAUCUGAUCAUUGUGUGUUACUGUUCAAAUGUCUUUGAAAAUUUCAAGAUAAAGACAUAAGAAGCAACACAAAAUAUCUGACAAAGUGACACUGUUUUGUAAGAUACAGAGUAACUGAGAAAGUGACAUGAAACAAGAGCCUUCAAUGUGCUUCAGUUUUUCUUGAAGGUUUGACUUUUCCACAUGUUAAUACUUUAUCCUGUUACCUGCAAACCAACAGAAUGAGGCACUACUUGAUGUGGGCUGCAGAGAGCAAACUUGCAAAGCGAAGCACAGCAGCACAGACCCAUAUCUGACUUCAUGGGACACAGCCCUUGUUUCUAAGGAGCAGGCUCUGUAUCCUGUCUACAUCUGGACAAAUGACUGCAAUGGAUCAGCUGCUGGUUUUAGAUACCUCUUUCCAUUCUCUAAUAAAUUGUGUGGCUGCCGUUCAGAACCUUUGUGCAACUAAAUGUAAUUUUCUAAGUCUAGGUAGAAGACUGGUCUAGACAUGCAGGAUGGUUCUGACUUUUGUAAUAACAAUAACUAUGGUGUCAAAGUGACUGUAUUACACUACGGGCUUUGUGACUGUAAAGCCCCAGGUUUGCUGUUUUGCCACUUAGCAUCCCAAGGUCCCUUUACAACAGUAGGUGCUAAUCUCCAUUUUGCACCCCAGAAAACUCAAUACACAGGAGGCCUAAGAAUAUUGUCUCUUGAUAGCGGAAAAAUUGAAAUACUUUUUUCCUACAUUAAACAGCUUACAGUUGAAACUCAAAAUCCAAACACCUGUUAAUGACCGUGAAGGAAAUAUUACGAUUCAAAGCUUAAUUUUCUGUAACUUGAGAGAUAAUUCUGUAAGUCACUGGGCCCACCAGAAGCUAGGAAACAGGUUAUUUGUGUGUUUACUCUUGCCCUCACUCCCUGUGGCAUUUAUGUAGCUAAAAUCAUAUAUGAGAAGCUUGAUUCGGGAUAUAUUUAUUUUAAAUAUCAAAGAACAAUGACAAGUUCACAUGUUCUUUUAGUGGUCUUUCUGUCCUGUUGGCUAAUGGGCUUAAAAUGGAUGGGACAGGAAAAAAUAACGGUAUUUUUUCUUUUACUGUCUCCACUGCGAAUCUUUUGCAGAGUAAAGCAGAAGAGUAGUUUUAAUCUAAAUAGCAAGGCCUGUAUAGAAAGUUACUUUUUCUGUUAGUAGCCAUGAUGCACAUGGAGAUAUAUAUAUAUAUAUAUGUCUGUCUGUCUAUAUGUGUACAAUUUAUUUAUUUUCUUUCUUAGAGACAUUUGGUUCCUCCUUUCCCACUCUCUCCUCUUAGAUAGCACUGGGAACAGAUUAUGGCUAGAAUAACAAUUCAAUUGAAUUCAUGUUUGCCCUCACUAAAAGCCCUACAGAUUUUCCCAUUACUUCUCUUUUCCUCUCAUCCCUUUUCAAUUUGCACUGAAUGUUGGUUUGUAAAGAACCUUCCUAGCAUGCUCAAUCCAUUCUGUGUAAUGAUUGAAUUCAUUAGGCAGGAUUUACUUUUAAAUCCCAAGGAAUGCUUACUUUGUGAGAUCCCUAGAGGUCAGGGUAAAGAACAGGGCCUGAACUGCUCAAAGGAGUGUCAGAGCACACAGUGAGACCUCAGACCCAUCACAGGUUAAACAGCUGGAACUUAGACAAAUACUGAAACAGAGGUGUGAAAGACUUCUGGCCUUCCUGGCUGUGUAGAAAACCUUCUAAUACAGGCAAAGUAUCACUGAUACAGUGAUGGCUAUCUGAAAAAAAAUAGUAUGGCAAAUCUGAACUUCUGGUGAGCCUUUUAUUAACAAGGUGUUUGACUUUUUUAAAAAUCGUAAACUCCACAGAAUCUACAUAUCUAUAGCUGUACAUUUUUAAAUCUGGAAAUAAGCUUUUACAUUACCAUAAAAUGGUAAUAUGGCAUUGUAUAAACUUUAUUUCCAGAUGUUCAGACAUCUAAGUAUUUUUCCAAAUCACUUUCAAACACCUGCAUAGUAGAAUUAAAUGAGUACAGUAGAGGAGAAAGAGUCACUUAAAUUCAGAGAUUGAGAUUGUAAUUUAAUGGAAAAAAUCCAUUUGAAAGGGUUGCACUAUUCCUUGGCUCUGUUAGAGAACAGUUACUGAAAGAGGACACCUUCUGGCGGUGGCUGCUUGAGUAAGUGCACAUGCCUGUAAAAAGAGUUUGUGGAGCUGCUGCUUUGUAACAAAAGUAAUAAGAGCCCUAUGCUGCUCUUCUCUGAAAAAGCCACAUCACAGUUCGGUAAAGUCAGUUUGUAAUUAAACUAUAAAUUAUCAUUGGACAACUUGUCACUGUUUUCUGUUUUGGCUUAUUUUUCCAAAAUUAAACUUUCUUGUCAGCAUUUGGUUCUUAAAAUAAUUUUCACAAAACUUAAAGUCCUUUUUGCAGAUUCAGGAAUAAUUCCUGUUUAAGUGAAAAUUCACAGGUAUGGUUUUGAUGUUUAGCUUUUUUUAGUAAACAUUACGUCUUGUUAUCCAUACAUCCAUUGUUUAUAUUUUCUGUGCUAUUUUUUCUCAGUUCAACACAGAAAAAUACCUGUGUUCAAGGUAAUCAACAUUUAAAUGGUGACUCUUGUUUGGAGAGUCCUUCAGGGUCACCCUCCUCUGGUAAGGUCAUGGCUCAUUCAGACUGGGAAGGUACUGUUUUCCUAACAGGUUUUUGACCUAAGCAUUUAAGAUCAUAAGAUAUUGAGAUAUAGGAGCUUGUUCUUUAGGUGCUCCUUCACCCAAGCAUGCAGUAUUUCAAGCCUGUAUACGCAGUACUGAAUCUUGAGUAGCCUUGGAUCCAAGUCUGGUUUUGUAGAUGGCUCUGAGGCCACCUAUAAUAGUUAACUCCAUUUUAAUGUCCGUCUGCAUGCUGAAUCAAGACAAAUUGAAGCAGAAGAUCUCAAAAGGAUGACAGAAGGUUAUCUUACAAUCAGUUUAACUCCUAUUUUGACAAAAAACAGAAACCCAAACCAACACUCACAGAAUUUGCAGAUACGUAUUCCCUGUGUACUUACAAAGGAAAGUCCUAUUAGCUUCAGUUGCAAAAGAAGUGCUGAAGGGUGAGAAUCUUCAUGUGAAUGCAGAAAUGCAGGAAAAGAAUGCUCCUGGGAGCCUCUGAUCUUCACAAGUACAGCAGAAAAACAACAUUAAGGAGUUAAUAUUGUAAAUGUGUUCUUUUGAGAACCGAAUCAUGGCAUGAAUGUUUGCUGGGAGGCUCUAAAUCUCUGUUAUUCAUCAUCUUAUGAAAAAUGAUGGUAUUUAAAAAGCCCAACUGGUUCUUAAAGAUAUGUAAGGCCAGAAAAUCAAUUUGUGAAUGAUGAUAAGUAAUGGUAAGUACCGUCAGCCUGACACUUUGUUGGAACUUCAUUUUUUUUUUUUAAUAUCUAUGUUAAUGGCAGGGUGGGUAAUGUCAAAUUCACACUUUUGAUUCAAAACUAGAUUUCCUCAAAUUACAUAUGUUUGAAACCCAGAAAGAACACUUAACUUCUUCCCAGGUUGUUUGACUGUGGAAAAUUAAUCCCAACAAACAGAUUAGUGUUACACUGCUGUUGCAGUGAAUGUAGUUAAUGAAUAUGACAACAAGCUGAAGCACAUCUAAUCAAAUUGAAAUGAAAUUAUUAUUACCAAAUGAGAGUGUAUAUCACCAAUUUUUAAAUGGAAUGACAUCAAAUAUUAAUUUAACGUAAGAUGCAGGGGCAGUUUCUCUUGGAGCAUGGACAAAGAUUACGCUUUUCUGUUUGAUUAUUCACUCUGACAUGAAGAGUGUUAAAAUUCAAUCACCCUUUUGUUUUAUUGAUAGCCAGAAUUCCAUUAGCCCUCGUCAGGUUGGAGGGGAGAGGAACCAUGUCAGCUUUUCAUCUCUGUGUUCAUAUGUUCAUACUUCUUGCAAGUAAAAGCAUAAAAUGGGAUUCUGCAAACAUCCUUGGAUGUCUUCUCUAAGACUGCCGCCAGGGUUCUAGUGAGCCUUUUUACGAUUUCAGCUGCUAAUCUACUCUAUGUGAUAGUUAGAGUUACAAAUUAUUGUUUAUAUGUCUUGCUAUUCUAGGUCAGCUCCACGGGUACAUAUACACAUUUCUGCCUAUCAUUUGAUUUAGUCCUCUCGUGACAAAUCCUGCAUUUCCUUGGGAAGAACAGGUAUUCAAAUCCUGAUACAAUCAGGCUGUCCAGGUAAAAAUCUUUUUGGCAGCUCUGGUACCUCUCUUUUGAUGGCAGCACUGAACCGUGCGUCACUGAUGUGCUAGGGGCAGGACUAGAUGCGUUUGGUACUGCUGCUGAGGUUCAGUGCAGUCACACAGCAGGCGUUUAUCAGGCUCUGAUCCUACUGAGCACUUGUUUUACAGUAUAGUAUAAUCUGGGAUCAGUCUCUUCUCUAUGGAAUCAAAGUUUUAUCUAAUUGCUUGUGUUUAAUUUUUCCUUAGAUGGUUAAAACACAACCUACUACAGCUUUACAGUUUGGACAUUAUUACUAGUGAAAUACCUUAUAUAGUUGUAUUAAUAUUAUCUUAUAAUUCUGUACCCCCUUCUCCCAAAGAUAUUGAGAUACUGGGUCUCGCAAAGUGUCAUUUUAAUAAGUGUGCAUGUAAAUGCCAGUUUUACAUGCAAGAAAAUGAAGUCACAGAUCUCAUUUAAAGCACAAAUCCUGUCUUUUGGUGACUUAGUGGUUUUUGUUUGGUUGGUUUGUUUGUUUUUCUUUGCCCAUGUUUAGCAAUCUUUUUCGUAAUUAAGCAUUUCAGUUAGUAGGAGACACUGACACAUUAAGUGGAUCACUCUGAAACCCAGUAAAGUUGAUGGAGGCAAAUACGAGUAAAAGGAUCCAAUAGCAUAGAAACAUCUGAAGACAACUUCAGUGGCUAUAGAAUAUCAGAUGUCCUACAGCUCUUCUAUCAACAUCCAUUACUUCAAGGUUAAGACACAUGCAACAGUAGAUAUGAAAUUAAUAUGGAUGAUUUGAAACAGAAAGGUUAUUUUAAAUUAUCACUGUUCCCAAAUAUGUUGAAUUUUUUAAAUCUGAAGUGUGCACUUUUGCAAAAGAAAUGCCCUUAGUAAUUUGGAAGCCUUUCCUGCUGAUAGCCAAAAUAUCACAAGUGAGUAUUAAAUAACUUCUGAGUCAUUGAGUUCAUUCUUUGUCUUCCUUUGCAAUUUUUUAAGGUACAAACUAGAUGAUUUUCAUUUUCAAUAAAGUACUUUAAAAUGCUUUAUUGGACCCUGACAGUAAUUAUAAUAUUUGUGUAACUAACAAACUGUAAAGCUAGGGGAAUAAUCAUUUAAAAAAAACUAAUCCAUGGAAAAUUAAGAGAGUUUGUAUCUCACUAGUUUUUCUAACUGAAUUUUUAAUAUCCUGUUUUUCAAAUGAGUAAUCUAGAAUUGCUUUUACUAUUAAACAGAUUCUUAGAUGGUAUGAAUAUCAGAAUGAUAUAAUUACACAGGAUGACAGGCUGAAUUUUGAAAGAUUAGGAUGGCUUAUGUAGUAUUAUUUGGUUUCAAACAUAAAGUAGGAGAAAGUCUCAAAUAUGGUUAUACUUCGCAGGCUAAAAAGUUAUACCCUGGAGAAAAUAUUUCUUCCCUUAAACUGCCAUGGGGUAAUUAUUCUGGGAAUUUAAAAGGAAGUUCUUCUCCACCCGGUUGGCUGUUAGUUUGUCUUCAGAUUCAUCUACAGUCUUCCUUGCGCAGCCUCUACACUGAAACCCAUUGUACACACAGCCUGCAGGCUGAAGAAGCUGACACAGCCAGAAGAACGAAACUUGCGGAGUGAUUCUACCAUUUAAAAACAAUAUUAUGUAUAAUUCUCAACACUGAAGGACAGAAAGCAGUCUUCUUCAUUCUACCCCACUUUCUUAGGGCAGUGAUAUGUGCUGUCACUUUCCAAAUAAUUAAGUCCUUUAUUUUCAUUUUAAAUAUCUUUUUUUUCCUGUAGUUCACAUACUAGUGUUUCUGCUACAAACAAAAUGGUUGCACUGAUAUUAUACCAUGAUGCCUUCAUUUGUAAAAUAGAUGUAAGACUCAUACUGCUGUCUCAAAUACAAAAUGCUUUGGCGAUGAACCCAUAGAAGAAGAUGCCUACAGUUAAGAGAAUUUCAAAAGGUGGCAGCAGUGUUUGUGUGCCCACACAGAUAAUGAAAUACUAUCAAGUAGGAAUCGUAAGAAGCAAAUAAGCUAUAUCAAAGUACCGAAAGUAACCUAUGGGACAAAAGUUCUUUUCCAUAUAUGUAAAUUUUGGAGAGAGGCAACAUACAUAAUGUUACUCCUUUUAAAAAAUGCUUAUUAUCAUGGUGGUGGCUGCAGGGAUAAAAAUCAGGCAGAAAACACCAUUUUAUUUUUUGUGCAGGUGACCCAGUCCCUCCGGGAUGUGCUUCUGCUCCAGUCCAGUUCAGCUCCCCCUCGGGCACGCUGCUCAGACAGCUCGUGCAUCCUGCGCUGCACCGUGCUCAAUCAAACUCAAGGAAAAGGCGCGUGAGAUUCAAAAGUCUGUUGGCUUACAUGCAGAGCCAGCUUCAGGGAUUUGGUACAGUUCUUAGGUAAUGUUAUCCUCCUCUGGCACAUCGGCACAAUUACUUUAAAAUAUACUUUAUUACUUAAACAUUUUUAUGGAUGACCAUAAGAAGUUAAGCAAAAGUAUUGCAGUGUUAUCAUUCUGAACCAUGGCAUUGCCUUCAUAAGAGAAUUAAGGUAGUUCAUGUAACACAGAAUAUAGAGGCUGCUUGAAUUCAUGCAAGAAUCAGCAUGAUAGCUACACCAUGAAAUAAAUGGCACUUGUAUUUUUUUCACUGUUAUGUUUCAAAAUAGUCUCUUGUGAAAUGUUCUUUCUGUGUUGUUGCUUCCUUGGUGGUUCAUUUUUGGAUUGUCUCUUAAAUACAAAAGAGGCAUCUGCGAGAUAUGCAAUUAAAAUGAGGACAUAAAUGGGGAUUAAUUUAAAGGAGGAUUAUGAGGGGGAUUCUAAAUCUAACUAUAUAAAUAAGGACUACAAAUGUAACCCAGUGCAUUCAUUAGUCUGAUUGGCAGAAAUAAUUUAGCAGCCGGCUGAGAAGUGACAUUGAAAUUGUUUUCUUAUACUGUGCACUUCAUCAGAUGUAUGCUAAAGAAUUCUAGCUCUAUCCAAAGUGUCACCUUGACCAAUUCCAUAUUCCAUUUACUGCAAAAGAAAACCAAGUCCCUCCCCUCACUAUGUUGGUGCAGCUGGCCUGAAAAAAAUGGUAUUUGGGAAGUGAAUGUUUAAGCUUUCGUGUAGAAAAUCUGACUCUCUUUCUAGCCUUCAUUUGUACAGAUAUGCUGAUGGAAAUAGGACAGACUAUGAAUACUUUUAAUGACUAAUUCAACCAGUGCUCUAAUAGCUUUGUAUUUCUUUCUGUUCUGUCACAUUAUUUCACCUCUGUGUAUGUCCAUGCCAUCUCCUCUGCAAUUCUGGAGACACAGGCAGCUUUCCUGCCCUCUCUACCUUGCCUGCUUUAUCUCCCUGAAGUCAUGAGAUUAAUAAAAGGCAAAAAGUCACAAAGAUGCAAUUACUACUACUGUAGAAAUGGACAUAGAUGACAUCAAUCUAUGUGACAGGUUUGGAAUAUAUGCUGCUAAGAGGCAAAAGUCUAUGCAUUUGAAGUAAUACUGGAGGAGCCUCAGCUGAAUUCUUCCUACCAUCUAAACCCAUUUCACUGUGAAUCUGAAUCGCCCAUCCUGCAGUUCAGAGUUUGUCUAUUUAAAAGAUGAGGAAAGAGGAGUCACAUUGAUUUCAGAGGUGUAUUUGAAUAGAACUGGCCAUCCAUGUCCAAUUUGGAAAUCAGGGUAGCCACAGAGACUGAUUUCUUCCAAGCAUGCUCCUGUCAGCAGGAGAGGGCAGCCUGAGAAACACUGCACUGCCAUUUAUGAACAUCUUUCAGAACCCCACGCUCAGCCGGAAGAGCUUUGAAUAGCAAACCCGGUGUGUUAAGUGUCUGUGGGACUAGAAAGUAACAGCAGUUACCUUUGAAAACCCUGAGGAAAGGCAACUUGAAUAGCAGAAUUUGGAAGCAAAGUACUUGAUGAAAUGUCUUUUGAUUCCUAUAAUGUAAAUCAUGAACUAAAAAAAAAAUGACCUUAAAAAUAUAACCAACUCAUCAGCUAAUGAGAUACAGAAAUGCAGCUGCUGACAUUGUUACCUGUGUUUCGCCUGCAUUGUGGCAAACAGAUUGGUGAAGCCUUUAGUUAGCAUUAAAUUCAUCUGGAUAGUUUAAAUGAUGCCAUGAUGAUUAAUUAGCUCAGGACUCAUUUCAGACCUUAUGCAGUUGCAAAACAGUUGCACAACAUCUAAGGAUGAAGAUUCCCAAAGCAAUAAAACAUAAUUUAAUCCUAAUAUCCAAAACCAUGGAAUAGGUCUAUUCCAAAAAACAAUCUCAUAAGCAGCACAGUAACUGUAAACCACUGUAGUCUGUGGAUUUGAAACCCAAUUUUCUUCCUCUUAAUUGUUACACAGCUGUAGCAACAGGUCAUAUAGAGUUUUUCUUCUAUUUUCUUCCAUAUCAAAUAAGUCAGAAUAUAUUUGUAGUCAUGACUGAAGUGCCUAAAGAGACAGCCAGGUCACUGGGCUAAAACAAGAACUGCUGGAAGAUGGACCAGGAAAUUGUCUUUCUACUUGUCUUCUGUUUUGUGAAGAUUCUUCACAGAAGAGGAAUGUCAGGCUGUCUGUCUCAUCUUGCACUCCAUGUAUGCAAAUCUGAAUUUUCUGAAAAAUUAUUUAUUUUAUGUGUAUACCUACAAACCUAUUGCCAUGUAAACCAUGUUCAGUAUAUGAAAAAGCUGUAAAACAUCAAAAGGACAUUUCCAGUAGUUUUUUCGAAUACUGGAAAUUAUGUAGCUUAACUUAUUAAGGCUUUCUAGAUUAUUUUUGCCUUGGAAUGAUAUGCAAAAUUUAACUAAAUAUUUGUAGCAGUUCUGUCCCAUCUGGAUGCUCUGGAUUCUAAUAGCUCUUGUGCCCGUACUCCAGUCUUUCACUGAAGGCACUAAUAACAUCUGUCCUUUCUGCAUACCUGUUAGUUGCCUGAAAAUUUUAGACUCUUAAUAGCCAACAAGCUUACUUUUAUCAAAUCUGGCUGAGGUUAGUCAGUGGGUUUAAAAAAUCACCAAGAGGGGGGCAGAAAAGCAAAAAAUCUAGCAACCCCCUUCUUUGUGGAAACUUUGUUCUUGGUGCCUUUCAAAACUUUUCAUUUUCAUUUGCUGGUGACCACAGGAAUCUUUCCUUAUUGGCUUGCUUGCUGGCUCCACAAGCACUGACUUCUGUCUAACCUGUGAAUCUGUGUGUCCAAGGCUUGGGAAAUGUGGGUUUGAGAAUUCCUUUCCCCAUGGCCCCACCUCUUCCCCAGUAGGGCAAGGGCUACUCUUUGAGAAGGAUGCUUUUGGGGAAGCCUGUGACUGUCUUUUUUUCAGAUUUUUUUUUUUUUUCUUUGAAGGUUGAAGGUUUAAAAGCUUUUAUUUUUUAAGUUUUUGUUUUAAUAAUGCUACGCGUUAUCAAUAAUAUGCAGCUUAAUUUUUUUUACUUUGUUCUAUGGGCGAUACAGCAUUUAUGCAGUACAAGUUCCUUGCAUCAUUAUACUCUAAUAUGGAGGUUAAUACUCUAUGUCUUAUGUUGCUGGAGGCCCCAAUAAACUUGCUAACAACUGCAGGAGAAGGGAAGUGAUGCUUUUAAAUAUUUGUUGUUGAUGGCUAUGAAGAGAAAGUAUCUGAUCUACUUUGUGCUCUUUUAAGAUGUAGCAAAGGUGAGCAAUGUCCCCUUGCUACUUGUCCUCCUGAAGACAAGGACUCCCUUGAAAAAGGGCGAUAGAGUUCAUUUUUCCAGCUAUUCCCAGACUGUCCUGGAGCAGAGACUGAGUGCUGGGUUAGAUGGUGACAAAAAAGGGAACAACAAUAUGAAAAGUCGUUGAUAACUUAUUAUCUUGUAGGAACAAAUGCAUAUACAUUCACUGAUCUGCAGUUUACGGGAUGCUUUCCUAUACUAAAUAGAAAUAACACCCUUGGGUCUGUGAAACUCAGUCAUUUUGAACCAAGGUAAUCUGGGCAUAUGAAGGAAACUUUCUAAGGAAAAUAAACAACACUUGCACAAACAAUUGAAUCUUAUCCUUUUCCUCCACCUUUGUGCCUGGAUUUUAUGUGGCAGGACACUGGUAGUAACAGCAAGAGGAGAACCCAGUAGUGCUCCUCCUACUUCUGCAGUCAGAUUAUGGUCUUUUUGACAAUGCAGGAUAAUUAUUUCCACUUCAGUCUGUAGAUUUUGAGAACUCUAGCCCCUUCCUUACCCCUUCCACACCUUACAGCUUCUCCUGGGAAAUCCUUGCCGUAGAGAUCCUUCCUGACUAGUCAUACUGGCAUGAACUUUCUUCUUAGGCAGGCCGUGAAGUGAGGAAUCUUCCAGUAAGUGGGGAUGUAUUUCUUCAAGUGAUGUAUUUCUUAUUCUCAAAAGAUACCAGUAAAGAAAGUGAACAGGGUUUGGCUUUUUUUGGUUGGUUGCUUGGUUUGUUUUUUACUUGUACAUAGGCCAUGAAGCCAUGGUGAGACACCCUGACAAGCUCCUACAGAAUUUCUAUGAGCCCCCGGAAUCCUGGUUCAGAACAUCAGUGUUGAAAUUCUACUUUUCACAAAUGUGUGGCUGUAUGCUGCCAUCUGUCUGCUCUGCAGGUGGGAGUCAGUAGUGCAGCAUUAGUUUUAUGUACCAAAUUACGGCUAUUUUGUGUGUUUCUGAAAAGCUGCUAAGACUUCUGCUGUACUAUUUACCUCAUUUCAAAGCAGUUUCUCUUGGUCUGCUUUGGCUCAUUAUGGGAAAGCAGAUUGCAAGGCUGAAAGGUUUGACAUAUGUAAACAGGUUCUUUUUUCCUUUGCUGCCCCCUCCCCCCCCCCAAAUGCCAUUCUUAUCACCUAUAUAGAAUGCAAGAACCAAAUUAGUGUUGUCUGCGAUAUCUGAAAUUCUCAGAACUAUUAUUGUGACAAGGUACUACCAUAUUCCAACAUAGUAUAUGAGGUGUCAAAAUGCUAAUUCAAGCCAAAGCCUAUGAUGGGUUUUUUCUUACCUCAUUUUUCAUAAAAGCCUCUGAGACUGAAUUGGGACUGACUAGCAUCCUACCAAGUCUGUAUAUUAAAGUCUACUACACUUCAUUAUUGUGACAAAGAUUGUAAGGGGAGAAAGAAAUGGCACAGUAUUAAUUUAUUCUUUUCUCAUAAUAUGAUGAGACUGGCACUGUAAGUUUUAUAAAUGUAUUCAAUUUUCAUUGCAGAUCUUAAUAUUUCAGUGUUCCCAAAGUGCAAUGAUUUCAUUUGACGCUGUGGUGCAUGACCAAGUACACAAUGAAUACCAAGUACUUUGUGUAUCUCUCAUCCCAUCCAUUUGACCAUGCCACCAAUAAGAAACAUUUUGACAAUUUCAAAUUAGACAAAUCUUGAAAUUUGUCAAUUUCAAGCUUGGAAUUGUCAACAUUAUCUUUAAUAUUAAUUACUUACAAUUGCAAUGUAUUUUAGUGAAUUCAAGUCUGUAUAAAAUAGGAAAUGAGGAUAUGUAUUUUGUGGGUAAGAAUACUAGUUUUUAACCAGAUUCCAUAUCAGAGAUUUUCAUUUCUAUUCCAAGCUAUUUAAUCUAAAAAAGGUGUUAUUCAAAUGCUGAACAUUUACAAAGCUGCUCCAGAAAGUUGAUUUCUAUGUGCCCAUUUAUUGUCCUUAUGGCUAAACCGUAAAUAACCCCUGCUGAUUAAAAGCAAAGGUAUUUGUUAUUACAAUAAUCAGAAAGAAUAACAGUUAUAUUUUUUGAAAUAAGAAAGCAAUUUGACAAACUGUGCAUAUAUUUUCUAUGUAGUCAGCCAUUUCAUGACAGUAAAACAAAUCAAGAGAAUAUAUCUUUUAUAAAAUGCUGUUUCGUUAUUAUUUAAACUAUAAUUUUGCCAGAGAAACAGCAUUGUGCAGUUUACUCAUAUGCAAAAACACUUGUAAAACUGAGUGAUUAAUGAAGGGUCAUCAUUUAUAUCAGAGAGUGGGGAAUGAAUUCUGUAUCAUUAUGUUCCUGUGAGGAAUAUGAAGGUAAUAAAACCAGCAUUUGUUCUGAGUUUUUUCAAGAAUAUGUGCUGUUAAUGCUAUUGCUAAACUUAAUACAUGGGCUGUUUUCUGAGCUGGCUGGGAGUUUAGUUCUGGCCUCAGAGGAGAAGACUGGUCAUCAAGUUUCUUCCUUCUCUUCCUGUGUCAGAUUAUUUCGGUACAUGUCAAGUGACCUGACAGAAGCAGCACUGCUAUGUAGGGCAUACUGCAAGAAUUUUUGUGGGAGGAAGGAGGGCAAAAGCUACUUCAGCAGCCUUCCUCCACAAGAUAUUUGAACAUAAUCACCACGUAGUGCAAUCUGACGUCAAUAGUUGAUUUAAAACAAACCAACCAACCAACCAAAAAAUCCCAAACAACAACAAGUAAAGAUCAGAAAUGGUAUCUAGAAUUUCCAGGGUGAGGUUCAAAAUCUGCUGAGAAAUUUGUGCUGACAUUUUUCAGAAUUCUGUUAUUUAUGCUCUAAGCAAAUUAAGCAUUUUUUAACUUUGAAUUUUUUCGUGAGAAAUAUUAACCAAAAUGAAUGCUUUCCAAUGAAGACUGGUUUUGCUUCAAAAUAGUUCUGCUUUCUGAAUGAAAGUGUCAAAGCACCUUGCCUGUUACUGUUUUAGAAGAAUGUCACAUCAUAAGCAGAGUAAAAUCUAGUGGGGUUGUUGUUGUUGCUUAACUUACUUUUUUUUUCUUUCCAAGUAGAUCACAUUCCUUAAAUUUCCAAUUUAUGAAAAAUUCACAGCACAGAACAGGAAAACCUGGGGGAAAUGUUAUCCAAAAGAGACUUAAAAUGUGUAAUUCAAAAAUAUUUUUUCUAGAAACCAUAUUUAUAAAGGUACCUAUCCUGUAACUCUGUCUCAGUAUCUAUGUUUCAUGAAAAUCACGUGGAAGACACAACUUCCUUUCUAGAGGGAGUUUGACUGAGAACACAGUACCUCUAGCAAUAAUGGCUUAAGCAGUCACGUGAGGUCCUUCAGUGUUCAGACAGCUGCAUAGUCAAUUUAACUCAGAGUAUCCAUCAUCAGAUGGUCCAUUUGGGUUAAACAGACACUGGAUGAUAUGCAGCCUGAAUUUCUGGGCAGAGGAAAUCUCAUCAAAAUGUGAUGCUAAAUCUUGUGGCUCAUAAGAAACAGGUUAGUCCUGUCUUCUGAGGCCAUUGUAACAAAAUUGAUUAUUCUGUUUAUCAGAGCAACUGAGAGUGAAUUAAGUUGUGCUAUUAUCUGCAGAGAUUGUGGGGUUUCCUUGUUCCAGGUCUUAUUUGGCGAAUCUGUAAGUAGAUUUGCAUUCCGUCUGCUCAGUAGAUUCUGCAUGUACCGCUUGUUAACUGCAAAACCUCAAGAACUUUUCCAGCAUAGAAGCUUGAACCACAACUUUUAGUGUUUGGAGGAUUCCUGCCGCCAAGAUCUUAGAGUGAAGACUCAUGCAUCCUUAGCCUUGUCUAAUCGUUUGUUCUCCGUUGCUAGGCUGCCUUCUUCAACGAGGUGUCUUCAGGAGGUGUCUUAGCACUCUUGUUAUGUGCUGGUACCUAUAGAUGCCAUGUUCUGCAGAUCAGGGAUCACAGCCAUGCUCGGUUGUGCAUUUAAUUUUUUCCAGGAUGAAAUGAAAUGAGACAGUCUGAAUUUCCUACCCAUCAGAACCUUCAGAAUUUUUGCAUUUUCCCUUUGAUUCAGAAUGAAAACUUGCCCAGCAGAAUGAAAUUUCGAAAGUCUGACCAGAUCUAUACUGAACUCUUCUUCAAGUGUGCUCUCAAAAAGGCUCCUAAUUACAUGGAUUUUUUGGUUUCUCAUAUCUUCCUACAAAAAAUUUAUUCUAUAUUACUCUUUUCCUUCCAGUCUUCCUCCUGCUUUGUUCCCUCAAACUUGCUCCAUACAAUUUGCCUCCUGCCAAAGAACUGCAACUUGUUCUUUCUUUCAUGAUAUAAUCAAAUUUUCAUAGCGUAUUGAAAACAUGGUAAGUGAUACUGUUUAGUUUUGUCUUCUUAUAAAUGUGCAUAGCUCUCUCUCCAAAAUAAUACCUUUUCAGUGAUCAGAGGAAUUUAUAAUCUAGUAACAGUAAGGGAACUCUGAUUCGUGUGUGACGGAAGUCCACAAAAUAGAUCGAAGUUUAUUACUGUUGUGCAUAAGAAAACAAAGAGCUAGUUUCAGCUCAGUAUCUCAGCAAUCAUAACCCUUUGAUAUUAAUCUGGAUGCUCAGGUAAAAGAUGGAUGCUCUUCAGCAACACAGCAAUCCCCUUUGAAGAUCUAAUUGUCCUAUAUUCAUAGUGCAAAUGCUCCAUUUUUUCUCUUUGGUUUUAGCAUCUGAAAGAAAAGCUAGACUAUAGAGCCCUUUCGGAAAAGAAAAUUCCUACUGGAGAAUGACUACUAAGAAAUAGUGUGUCAUUAAUUUUCCUCAAGACUUUCAUCUUGCAGUUACUAGCAAAAACCCCUUCUUUCUGAAAGGCUAGCCUUCUUCUAAAUAAUGGUUUUCAGCCUCUAAAAACAGAUGAGAGAGGAGAUAUUUUUACCAGUGCACUGAGCCAAAACACUGCAUCGGAGUUACUUGCUUUGUGCAUUUCUGCACAUGUGACAUGGACAGGUCCCAACAAGGAGUAGGUUUCCCCAGAGGAGGACGACUUCAGGCUCAAGGAGUAAUCCUGAGAUCAUAACCUGCGGAAAGUGCAAGAAAAAGAUGGCUGGAAGGAACAGCACUAGUCAGAAGGGAGCUGUAGCUAAUCUUCUCCUGUUAGCAACUCAUGAUAUCUUCGUGCUAGACUUGUGCCCGUCUCAUUUUUUCAGGGAUUCUGCCCAUUUGCAUUACAGUACUCGGGAGAUGAUAAAAGCAAAUGAUGUCUGAUCUCAAAGACAUUAAAUAUGGGGAGAGGGAAAGUUAGUCCCUGGUUACAUGUAGUGAAAGCUGACCACAAAAGAAAGCCAGACAGUGCAAGAAACAGAAUUUGCAAACACGUGAAGAAACAUUUGUCCUGGAACAGUCUGAAAUACCAGUUCAGAAGGUCUGUUCAAACUGCCCUUGCUAAGACCACACCUGAGUGGGAAAACAUGUACUUAGUCAAACUAAAGAUCCACAGGGUAAAAACCAAAACAACAGAACCAAAGCAAAAUAGAAAAACAAACGAACAAAACCACACACACACACAAAAUCCAAAAGCUUUUCCUAUAAACAAAUCUGUUGCUGGAAACUAAGUGCUCAGCCUUUCUGGGCAGAGUACUUCAGCUUCUGCUGGUGUCCUGGGCACAUUGCACGCUGCAGCCUGUCCCUUACAGCUGUGCUCACUGCAGAAGCCCGGUCCCGUUGGUCUGAACAAGGUUGCUGUGUUGAGUUUGCCCAGCAAAUCUGAUACUUUCCAGGGAGACCUACGUAGCAGGCGUGACAAGAAAGGCACAGCAGUGCGCCAUGCCUAUCUGCUGUCUUUCCUGGGGGAUGCGCAGCUCUGGCUCACGGUGCGUGCCACAGCAGGCACAACCCUUGCCAAAAGGCUGGGAGCAAACUGAUGGAAAUGCCAGCAAUGCAUGUGGCUGUCACACCCUCUCUGGGCCCCUGAAUCAUCCCAAGAAGGGCAGCUGCAGAAGAGUGUCACUGGCACCAUGAAAUACUCUAACAAUUCAGUAUAUGAAAAUUAUUAUUAAAAAUAUUUCCUUAGGAGUGACGGGCACAUCUCUUUCUAAGGGCACAAAACCGGUGUGUAGAUAGCUUAACAUCUGAUAAUGAUGUUCUGGUGAUUAUUUCCCUUCUGCAUAAAUACGAUGGUCACCAGUAAUUUUUUUCUGAUAACUGCACAGACUGAAAUUUACUGGCCCCUAUUCAGAUUAUGUUGCCAUUCCUUUUAUAGGACUCUGCACAAACAUCUAGUCAGUGACUCAUGAAAGACAUAUUUUAGAAUCCUCUUCAUCUUGUUAAACAUCUUAGAUAUGACCUUCUUACUGCUGCAUUACACAACCAUAUUUCAGACUUAUUUUGCUUUUUGAAAAUGAGUGAUGUUCUCAGAACGAGUAAAAUGAAAAAUUGAAGUGAAUCCAGCAAAGCAGUUUUUUAAAAGAGAACUUCUGUGGUUUUGGUGGUGGUGGAUUUGGUUUGGGUUUUUUUUGUAUGUAGCACAAUUUAAUGGUGGAUUAACAGUUAGACAAUAAACAUCUUUGUUAAAGA